rnacentral:sRNA from 19 species
CCACUGCCAGUGUGGCCCGAAAGGGAUAACUGGACGCGGAUAAGCCGGUAGUGCCGCGAUGCAGGAAAACACCGGCAGCC